rnacentral:pre_miRNA from 1 species
GAGUUUGCUCAAAAUUUUGGUGAUAUAACUCAAAAUGUUAUUCCUCUCAUUUCAUUCGAGAAACAACAUUUUGGGGGGCCUCUGUUAACACCAAAAUUUCUAGCUUUGGAAAUUU